UGAGGAAUUUUGCGCAAUGGGGGAAACCCUGACGCAGCGACGCCGCGUGGAGGACGAAGGCCUUCGGGUCGUAAACUCCUGUCAGAGGUGAAGAAUGCCCGCAAGGGCUUGACGGUAACCUCAGAGGAAGCCCCGGCUAACUACGUGCCAGCAGCCGCGGUAAUACGUAGGGGGCAAACGUUACUCGGAAUUACUGGGCGUAAAGGGUGCGUAGGCGGCUGGGAAAGUCAAGGAUGAAAUCCCGUGGCUUAACUGCGGAACUGUCCUUGAAACUUCUCAGCUUGAGGAUAGCCGAAGAGAACGGAAUUCCCGGUGGAGCGGUGAAAUGCGUAGAUAUCGGGAGGAACACCUGAGGCGAAAGCGGUUCUCUAGACUACUCCUGACGCUGAGGCACGAAAGC
rnacentral:rRNA from 1 species